AACUAAAGCAAUGGCAGCAAGAUGAACAGGGUGACAGAGUGAGGAGGAAAAUGAACAGAGCCUCAUGCCUGACUGGACACUGAAAAAGAGGUGAAGAGAUGAGGCGAUAGAACAAAAGAACAGAAAGAUAAUGAAGCUGAGACUAACAUAAUUAUGUAUGCAGCCACAAAUGGAGCACAAAGCAAUUACUGCUUGUGGGAAUUUGAGAGAUGCUCUUUGAAGAGGUGUGAGGGAAUCAGUAAUACUUGCAGUGACUUUUAAGGAGGUGGAGUGUGCUGAUGAAGAUGCCACAAAGAACUGAUGGGAAGUUAUUCCUCUCCCCAACUGCUAUUGUAUCCUUCCUGUAGUGCUGUCUCUGCUUUUUGCAUCUUGCCCAGUAUAUUAUGACACAAAUAAAAAUUCUCUUUUCAUCAUCUUGCAA
rnacentral:lncRNA from 1 species